GUCCCCAUAAUUCAACCGGAUAGAAUGCCACCCUCCUAAGGUGGAGAUAGAGGUUCGACUCCUCUUGGGGACA
rnacentral:tRNA from 1 species